UGAUUGGAUUGGGUAGUCGCCGGCGGCAUUGCCGCGGGAGGAAAGUCCGAGCCCCGCAGAGCAGGAUGACGGCUAACGGCCGCCGAGGGUGACCUUAGGGAAAGUGCAACAGAGAUAUACCGCUGCGCUUCGCGCAGUAAGGGUGGAAAGGCGAGGUAAGAGCUCACCGGCACGGUGGAGACAUCGUGGCCAUGUAAACCCCAUCCGGAGCAACACCGACUUGCAAGGCUUGCUCGGCCGCUAUAAAGCAGAAGGGUGGCUUGAACCGCUCAGCAAUGGGCGGUCUAGAUAGAUGACUGCCUUAAAAGACAGAACUCGGCUUACAGAUCCUAUCACGCU
rnacentral:RNase_P_RNA from 1 species